rnacentral:rRNA from 1 species
UGGGGAAUAUUGGACAAUGGGCGAAAGCCUGAUCCAGCCAUGCCGCGUGUGUGAAGAAGGUCUUCGGAUUGUAAAGCACUUUAAGUUGGGAGGAAGGGCAUUAACCUAAUACGUUAGUGUUUUGACGUUACCGACAGAAUAAGCACAGGCUAACUCUGUGCCAGCAGCCGCGGUAAUACAGAGGGUGCAAGAGUUAAUCGGAAUUACUGGGCGUAAAGCGCGCGUAGGUGGUUUGUUAAGUUGGAUGUGAAAUCCCCGGGCUCAACCUGGGAACUGCAUUCAAAACUGACUGACUAGAGUAUGGUAGAGGGUGGUGGAAUUUCCUGUGUAGCGGUGAAAUGCGUAGAUAUAGGAAGGAACACCAGUGGCGAAGGCGACCACCUGGACUAAUACUGACACUGAGGUGCGAAAGCGUGGGGAGCAAACA